CAGUGUGGGGUGCUCACUGCGUCUGGGCGCCUCCAGGGCUUUCCUGCCUAGCUAGCGACCUCCCUGUGACACCAGAUCCCCGCGGACCUACAAACCCGAGCGCCCAAUGGGAUAUUCUGGGUUCAGUCGGAGUACCCGGUGGCCCUGGCCCGCAGCUCCGGCGUCUGUCCAUUCCGGGGACCUCGCUGCAGCCGCCCGGGAGUCCGGGCUCGUGAUCUUCCCGCUACCCACGCGGGUCCCCAGCGCGGUGGCGGCGCUUUGGGGUCUGGAUGAACAGGGGAGAAGCGGGUGGGGGCGCCGGAUUCCCUAACGUGGAUUACUUGGUGCUUAUCAACUGGAUUUAGAAGACCCGCGCGCGACCUCGUCCCCAUCAUCCACGGGUUAUCGUUCCACCCAGCUGCUUUCCCACCUGGAGGUAAGACCAGAGAUUUCUGCCAACGGUGGAGCAAGGACAAGAGAAAGGCUUAGAAGGAGGCUGACCAAGGCUGUUCCUGCUCACCCGUGCUGCUCACCAGAAGCUCUGUGGAACCGUGGAAAAUAUGUUCCUGGCCCUCCUUUCAGGACUUGUCCAAGAUCAGGGUAUCUCUUAAGAGGCAAGAUCCCUGGAUUUCAACUGAGGAAUAUUAUUUUGAAAUCUAUAGAAACUUCCAGACUGUGAAGCUGUUUGGGAACACUCUGCAUUGACUUGAAUAAAGAAAGACAUACAUCGUGGACAUGACCAACAGCUGGGGAAGGCUCAUCAUCCCAACUCAUCUACUGUCUUGUAGAAGACAAGUCUCCUGGUAUCAUUACCCAGGAUAUUCUUCUCUACCCUGUUGCUGUCCCAGGCACCACACCCUUCCCUGCCUGACCCCACCUUGCCUUUGGACCCAGAGAUUCUUCUUAUUUGCUCUGAUAUCUUCUAGCUGGAGGCAGAGUGAAUAGUUAACUACACUUGAGUUGAAUGGGAUCUUGAUUUUUGUUUCUGUUCCUUGUAAAGAGGUCAUUCCCUGUGCACGGUGCACAGCCUGGAGAUGGUAGGUGACUCCUGAGUGACACAGGAAUUGGCGUGGAGGCUCUGUGGCCUCUUGGCAGUCAGGGGAGUAGAGCAGGGCUGGUCCUGACUUUGGGCUUGCGUUGCUUGGCUUCCAUGCAGGUGUGCAUUUGGACACAUAGAAAUGAAGCCAUCAUCCAUCCAUCUUCGGUGACACAAAUGGGAUGAGCUAUAAAGACCUUCAAAGGUGACAGGGAUCAACUCAUCCAGGUGAUUUGAGACUGAGGCAUUGCCUACUGAGGACCUCACCCCCCAGUUUCUGCUGGUGGCCCACGCACCUGUCAGAAGCUGGGAACUUCUCUAUCUCUUUCCUCUGUGGCCUCUACUUGGGCAGUUGAGAAUCCUUUCUAAUGAUUCAUGGUUCCACCUUCUUGACUGCACACUUGAAGAUGUUUGAGGAUUUGUAUUUGUAGUUUGUUUAUAUAAAACAUCCAAGCUUCCUUGUGUUGUAAUUGAUGCAUUUCCAUGGCUGUUCAGUGACUUUACAGUGGGAUAUUGACUUUGGCCUCUCAGAUUCGCCAUGGUGGAAUUGAACAAACCUUGUAAAGAUGUUUGAUGCUGUUGAAGUCCAAAGAAGGCUUACAGACCUCUCCUUCCCCCCUCCCUCCUCUACUUUCUUCUUUUCUAAGUACAUACUGACAGCGUCUGAAUUGCAUGAAUUCCUUCAGGUGUUGAGGAAUGGUGACCCACUCCUAACAUCUCUGUAAAUGAGGCCAUAGAAAUGGUUGGUGUGGUUGCCCAGGUGGCCUGUCCCAUAAUCCCAUGGUUAGACCAUGUACUCAAGAGUUACAGGGAUGGAAAGGACAGGGACAUCCAGACCAUCAAGUUCCUCACUUUGCAGUAGGAAAUAGUGUUCCCAAAUCCCACAUUCCACUCUGUGUGGAGCUGGGGAGAGCCAGUCAUCCCAGCCUGCCAAGGAUAAGGGAAUUUUGGGGGCAAAGGAUUUGGGGGAGCUAAGUCUGCAUCUCACUUGAAAAAAGUGUCACAGUUGCUCAUCCUACAGAGUGAAGCAGUGACCAUAUCUCUUCUGCUGCUGCAGCAGCAAGGCAAAGCUUCUAGGUUGCUUGGCCAGCCCCCAUUCACAGCUGUUUGUCUGCUCUCAUUGGCCACAGGGCAGCCUAUAGACAGACCAGAUCAGGUGCCCCAUCCUGACCAAAUCUGUUUGCAAGAUGGUAGGCUUGUCUUGUACUGAAGGAAAUCCUAAGUGUGACCGGCCAGUUGAGACCAGGUCCUUCCAAGGAGUGUUGUGUACAGUAGGCAUGGCAGAAAUUCAAAGUGUCAGGAAUUGCUCUAGGACAGUCCUAUAUAAGUGACCCUUGCCUCUUAUUAAAAAUGAAACUGCCCUUGAAGAAGCAAACCCAUAGUCGCUGGGAUAGUACAGGAUGCCCCGCGCCAUGCCCGUGUUUGCAUAUGUGUGCGUGUGCGCCACACCUGUGCAAACAUGUGCGCUAUAGAAUAAACGAAGAUCAAAAAUUUCCAUCUGUGCUAGACAGAGACAAAGAGCUGAAGUCUUCGGGACGAUGUCUGGAAAGCAAGGGGCUUGGCUAGGAGACUUCCUGAAGGUCCUUUGAACUGUAGCUUUUCUUUAGAAUAUCAAGGGCAUUUCGACUGGGUCUAAGUGUGUACUUUCUCUCUAAAGUCCUCCCCGAUAACCCUGAUAACCUGGGUUCAACUCAGAAAGCAUGGAGUGGGCCCUCCCAGCUCACUCUUACCUUCUUAGUCACUGCCUAGCUUCAGGGAGCCGCUGGAACUUUAAGGAGGUGGGGAAGGGUGGAUUCAUACCAAUCCAAUUUGGGGUGUUCAUGACAAGUAAGAACAAUUGAAAGGUAAAUUACAGGUUCUUUUGCAGCUUAGAAAAGCCAGGUUUUCAGGAUUGCCUGGCUCCUGAAGUUGUUGCUGCCUGUCAGGGGCUUCAGCCCCCAUCUUUCUGCCGAAAGCUGAGCAGGAGGGUCCAUGGUGCUGGAGCAUGGGCCUCCCACUAAUCCUUUUAUCUCGAGUUGCGAGGCCACAGGGGGGUAAUUACAUACGAGGGUGGUGAUGAGCAUCCAGGCAUCCAGGGGUUUUGGCAUCAUUCUUGAGAAUCCCCAUGCACUGGGAAGAAUCCUAGCCCAUAUCCUUUUCUUUGGGUACCAUCUUUGAAAAGAUGACUAUGGGAUUGGGAGGAUGGAUCCAACCAGAAAGCGCUUGAGGACCAGUGAUGGUAUGCAUUUAUUAACUCAGUGCCUGGGAGUCAGAUUCCCGGGGUUCACUGUGCAGCCCAACUCACAUAGGAAUCUCCUUUCAGAUUCUGACCAGAUAUCAUCCAGACUUGGGGGGCGGGGGACGGGCAGCCUUUGCUUGAGAGGGAGUUGCGAGGGAAGGCUGAGGCUGUCAGUUCCUCAAUGAGAUUUUGAGCUGGUGUAUUUUGCCUUCUCCCCUAAUCAGUUUCUUAUGUUUCGAUCCUAAUGGUAUGUAUAUGCUGGUUUAAAAUAAAAAUUCCAGGGCGGGGAAACAGGAGACCUGAGAUAGUGAUGUCAGAAAGUCCCCCUUUUUUAACUCCUUGUAUUUGACAUGCAGGGUUGGGCACAGGUGCCCAGGACCAUCUCCUGAUGACAUGCACAUUGCUGUCAGUUUUCUAGGAGUUGCUGUCUUAAAGAUCAGCUGUCUUUUCCGUAGUGGAAGCAUCCAUGAGAUGAUGUCCAUGGGGCGAUGGAAAUCACCCCAUCCCCGAGCUGACCACUCUCAACCUGAUCUUCUCUCAGUUAUGGUGAUCGUGACUACAUUUCAGAUUCACUCUGCUCCACACCCCUGGGAUCUUACGGGACAUUUGAACUUGACUCCAGACCACAGGAGCACUCUGGUCUACAAAUAGACCUGGGGAACCGUUCUAUGGAGAUAGCAGUGUGAAAUUACUAGAGAUGGGAAGACAUUCUUAUGGGGAUGCAGGGCCUCCUGCUCAGGAGACUACAGUUUAAAGGACAAAGAGUGACUUUGGAAAUGACCCCUGAUACUGGAUGAGACCCUCAAAGAGUAGACUUGUGGAAAGCAUGUGGAGGGAAGCC